rnacentral:rRNA from 1 species
UACGGAAGGCAGCAGUGGGGAAUAUUGCACAAUGGGCGCAAGCCUGAUGCAGCCAUGCCGCGUGUAUGAAGAAGGCCUUCGGGUUGUAAAGUACUUUCAGUCGUGAGGAAGGUGUUAAGGUUAAUAACCUUAGCAAUUGACGUUAGCGACAGAAGAAGCACCGGCUAACUCCGUGCCAGCAGCCGCGGUAAUACGGAGGGUGCGAGCGUUAAUCGGAAUUACUGGGCGUUAAAGGGCACGCAGGCGGUUAAUUAAGUUGGAUGUGAAAUCCCCGGGCUAACCUGGGAAUGGCAUUCAAGACUGGUUAGCUAGAGUCUUGUAGAGGGGGUAGAAUUCCAUGUGUAGCGGUGAAAUGCGUAGAGAUGUGGAGGAAUACCGGUGCGAAGCGGCCCCUGGACAAGGACUGACGCUCAGUGUGCGAAAGCUGGGGAGCAAACAGGAUUAGAUACC